rnacentral:misc_RNA from 1 species
GAUGAAGAACGCAGUGAAAUGCGAUACGUAAUGUGAAUUGCAGAAUUCAGUGAAUCAUCGAGUCUUUGAACGCACAUUGCGCCCCCUGGUAUUCCGGGGGGCAUGCCUGUCCGAGCGUCAUUGCUGCCCUCAAGCACGGCUUGUGUGUUGGGCCUCCGUCCUCCUCCCGGGGGACGGGCCCGAAAGGCAGCGGCGGCACCGCGUCCGGUCCUCGAGCGUAUGGGGCUUCGUCACCCGCUCUUGUAGGCCCGGCCGGCGCUUGCCGACACAUCAAUCUUUUUUCCAGGUUGACCUCGGAUCAGGUAGGGAUACCCGCUGAACUUAAGCAUAUUCAAUAAGCGGAGGA